rnacentral:lncRNA from 1 species
UUUGGUUUACACUCAUUCAUGACAAUAAGUUGUGUACGAGGUCUUCUGGAUAUGGUGAAUUGUGUACGAAGAUUAUGAGUAGGUCAACAAGGAAUUAAUCACUUCUAGUAAGAGAAGAUAACAUCCUAUUUAUUCUAAUCGUAUGAUAAUUCAGGAAGCCUUUGAUCAAAGCAGAAUGAAAAUUAGAAAGAGUUUCUAAUAUUUUAUUAUUUGAAUUAUCAUUAAAAGAUUGAGAAAGAUAUGAAUAUGAAAUUGAGUUUGACAUAUAUUC